rnacentral:rRNA from 1 species
CCGCAUGGUAGAACUNUUAAAGGAUUUCGGUCAUCGAUGGGGAUGCGUUCCAUUAGGUGUUGCGGGGUAACGGCCACCAAGCCUUCGAUGGAUAGGGGUUCUGAGAGGAAGGUCCCCCACAUUGGAACUGAGACACGGUCCAAACUCCUACGGGAGGCAGCAGUGAGGAAUAUUGGUCAAUGGACGAGAGUCUGAACCAGCCAAGUAGCGUGAAGGAUGACUGCCCUAUGGGUUGUAAACUUCUUUUAUACGGGAAUAAAGUGAGGCACGUGUGCCUUUUUGUAUGUACCGUAUGAAUAAGGAUCGGCUAACUCCGUG